rnacentral:misc_RNA from 1 species
GAUGAAGAACGCAGCGAAAUGCGAUACGUAAUGUGAAUUGCAAAUUCAGUGAAUCAUCGAGUCGUUGAACGCACAUUGCGCCCCCUGGUAUUCCGGGGGGCAUGCCUGUCCGAGCGUCAUUGCUGCCCUCAAGCACGGCUUGUGUGUUGGGCCCCGUCCUCCGAUCCCGGGGGACGGGCCCGAAAGGCAGCGGCGGCACCGCGUCCGGUCCUCGAGCGUAUGGGGCUUUGUCACCCGCUCUGUAGGCCCGGCCGGCGCUUGCCGAUCAACCCAAAUUUUUAUCCAGGUUGACCUCGGAUCAGGUAGGGAUACCCGCUGAACUUAAGCAUAUCAAUAAGCGGAGGA